rnacentral:rRNA from 1 species
UGUCUGGCGGCCUUAGCGCGGUGGUCCCACCUGACCCCAUGCCGAACUCAGAAGUGAAACGCCGUAGCGCCGAUGGUAGUGUGGGGUCUCCCCAUGCGAGAGUAGGGAACUGCCAGACAU